rfam:Lupinus angustifolius cultivar Tanjil contig_14922, whole genome shotgun sequence.
UGCAAUCUAUGAUGCAACUUUAUGUCCUAAUGCAUGAUUAUUCCGUGAUUAUUUACAUAAAAAUCACCAUCUUUCGGCUGAGAUUGCA